rnacentral:rRNA from 1 species
CGUAGGUGACAAGCGUUAUCCGGAAUUACUGGGCGUAAAGCGCACGCAGGCGGUGCGGUAAGUCUGAUGUGAAAUCUCCUGGCUUAACUGGGAGGGGUCAUUGGAAACUGCCGUGCUUGAGGCGAUGAGAGGGGUAUAGAAUUCCCGGUGUAGUGGUGGAAUGCGUAGAUAUCGGGAGGAAUACCAGUGGCGAAAGCGACACCCUGGCAUUAGCCUGACGCUCAGGUGCGAAGGCGUGGGGAGCGAACGGGAUUAGAUACCCCGGUAGUCCACGCGGUAAACGAUGAAUACUAGGUGUGGGUGGAGUGAAAUCCCUCUGUGCCGAAGCAAACGCGCUAAGUAUUCCGCCUGGGGAGUACGGCCGCAAGGCUA